AGGGGCAGCAGGAUCUAGCAAUAGAUUGCUGGCGACCGGCGCACGGGUGAGUAACACGUAUCCAACCUGCCGAUAACUCGGGGAUAGCCUUUCGAAAGAAAGAUUAAUACCCGAUGGCAUAAUAGAACCGCAUGGUUUUUUUAUUAAAGAAUUUCGGUUAUCGAUGGGGAUGCGUUCCAUUAGGCAGUUGGUGAGGUAACGGCUCACCAAACCUUCGAUGGAUAGGGGUUCUGAGAGGAAGGUCCCCCACAUUGGAACUGAGACACGGUCCAAACUCCUACGGGAGGCAGCAGUGAGGAAUAUUGGUCAAUGGACGAGAGUCUGAACCAGCCAAGUAGCGUGAAGGAUGACUGCCCUAUGGGUUGUAAACUUCUUUUAUAUGGGAAUAAAGUUUUCCACGUGUGGAAUUUUGUAUGUACCAUAUGAAUAAGGAUCGGCUAACUCCGUGCCAGCAGCCGCGGUAAUACGGAGGAUCCGAGCGUUAUCCGGAUUUAUUGGGUUUAAAGGGAGCGUAGGUGGACAGUUAAGUCAGUUGUGAAAGUUUGCGGCUCAACCGUAAAAUUGCAGUUGAUACUGGCUGUCUUGAGUA
rnacentral:rRNA from 1 species